AGGUUAGCUUACGUGUACCUCAAAUAUUCCAUUGAGUAUCUAUUACCUUCCAACACAAGUUAAUAUCAAGUUAUUUUAUUUACCAAGGUAUAUUUAUCUGUAUUGGAAUUUGAGUCAUGGUUCUCUAUAAUUUCUACUCGUUUCAUUGACCUCUAGAUCACAUCCUUAGUUGUGUUAUAUAAAAAACAUCCCUUUGAUGCUAAGCUUAAAAACUUACUCAUAAACACAAACACUCCCUCACCACUUAGAAAGGAAAAGACCACACAGACCAGCAAAGGCCUUUAGCUCAUCCAAUGAAAAUAACUAUUGGCUUCCUUCCUUGUUUCAUAACCUUGUUAUGUGUUCUAGCCUUAACAAGUUUCGCACAUGAAAAUUCUCAUGAAUCAAGAAACAGAGGCAUUCACAUCUUAAAACAUGUAUCUAGAGUACUGCAAGAAAUAGAGAAUGAGGGUGCAAGUGCAAGAAGAGGAGGAAAGGGACAGAAAGGAAGGGGACCAAAUGGAGGUUCAAACAACCUUCAUCAUGCGCGUCCUUAUAAAAGUUCAGCGUUAUCGCUGAAGCAGCCCUUCAUCUUCACAUCAACUACUGAUGCCAUAUUCGGAUUCUCUCUUCUUCUUGUAUUGCUAUUUGUCUUUCCAUGAAAAGUUCCACUAUGUUUGUAAAUUUGUAUGUCUGUAAGUGAACAGUCUUGUGCUAUAACAUGCUUUCUAAGAUUGUUGAUGCAUUAUUUGUCUUUCUUCCU